CAAGAAUAGCACAUAAUAGGAAUGAAAAGGAAAUCAUUUGGUCUAAUGGAAUUCUAUGCUUGGAUCAGCAAAUGUGUGAAGAUCCUAUGGCACAAGAACAGGAAACUUUAAGAGAAUGCACUUCCAAAUUUUAAGGAUAGCGGAAGGAGUGGAGUCACCAGCUAUUGAAGGACCAGG